GAUGAAGAACGUAGCGAAAUGCGAUAAGUAAUGUGAAUUGCAGAAUUCAGUGAAUCAUCGAGUCUUUGAACGCACAUUGCGCCCCCUGGUAUUCCGGGGGGCAUGCCUGUCCGAGCGUCAUUGCUGCCCUCAAGCACGGCUUGUGUGUUGGGCCCCCGCCCCCCGGCUUCGGGGGGCGGGCCCGAAAGGCAGCGGCGGCACCGCGUCCGGUCCUCGAGCGUAUGGGGCUUCGUCACCCGCUCUGUACGCCCGGCCGGCGCCCGCCGGCGACCCCAAUCAAUCUUUCCAGGUUGACCUCGGAUCAGGUAGGGAUACCCGCUGAACUUAAGCAUAUCAAUAAGCGGAGGA
rnacentral:misc_RNA from 1 species